UUCCUGACUCUCCCCGGAGCGGAAGUGACGUCGGCAGAGGAGCCGGAACCGGGCUGUGAAGGAGCGUUGGCCGCUGCGGCUCUGCCUGGCUCGCGCGGGGCCGUUGGAGCCUCUCCCGGGCCGGAGAAGGGUUUGUGACUGAGAUUAGGGCUCUGAUCGUACUGAGCGUGGCCCUGUUCUGCCAGGUGCUGCAGAGACCCCAACUGAGAUCUGGGCCCUGUUCUGCCAGGCACUGAAGAGACCCCAGGUGUGUGACUGAGAUCAGGGCUCUUAUCGUACUGAGCGU